UUAACAUUUUCUUCUGACUGGUGACAGUCAAAAACACUAAUCUGUUAACAUAUCCUGUGUCUAUCAAACAAACUAUUCCUUCUUAUCUAAACAAAAAUGCAACAUUGAUAAGCCAUACCACUUUUUAAGAAAUAAGCAAUGCCUUUACUUUAAUCUCACAAUAUACUUUGUACAUUAAAACAUUUGUUUAUAAAUAUAAUAUAUUUAAUAAAAAAUGUGUCUCAUGUACAGACAAUAAUAAUCAAUAAAAACAAAAUGCUGGACUUUAAGAACAUGGCUACAGGGCUGUUUUCAAGCAAUGUAUCAAUAGUUUGAUGAAAAUAACAACAAAUGGCAGUGAACAUGUAGUUCUCAGUGUCCCAUUGCAGCACACCAAGGCAAAGGGAAAGGAAAGGGGAGGGGGAUUUUUUUACAUGAGAAAAAUAAAAAAAGCUAAAUUAAUAUUUAAGCAGUCAUAUACAUUAAAAUAUGUUCUUCUCUGUCAUAUACAUUAAAAUCUGUGGCCCAGUGUCGGCAUACUACUUCAGUUUCAGUCCCAAAUUGACUCUGAAGAGUCAGUGAGUAUAAUGACACCACAACACAAUCAUAAAUAUAUUAACAAAAUUACACAGUAACCAAAAAAUGUACAUAGAACAUGCACCAACAAAGGGACCAAAUAUUAAAUAAAUAUAUCUAAAGUCUUUGUGCUGUGAUGAGGAGAAUUUAGACACACAACAACAUCAUUUAAACAUUGUUGCACAUGCAGCCAUCUUAUUUGGACCACUAGCUAGCACUAACACACUAGAAAGAUGCACUGCUUCUUUUCUUAUUACACAUAUCUUAAGAGCUUAACAAUACUUUAACAGCCAUUAUUAAACAUUGUAGUUGUCAAUGUUUCUAAAAACAGAAUGUUCCCUCUCCUGCCUCACAAUUGAGACUAUAACAAGAGCCACACUCUCUCUAAAGUAUUACUCGUCAAAGCCAAAUGAAGUCUUGGAUGUAGUAAAACUUAGUCAUACUACUAAUUUCAGUCAUAUUCAAAGUAUUGCACUUCGUUACUUAAUUGCUAUUUAUGUAAUUUAAGUUCCGUGUGGAACUAUGAUGAUGAAGUCCCAUUACCCUGAAGGUGACAUCAAUUUCUUAUCCUUGUUACUCUGCUGAAUGGCAUGCUGAGUGAUUUCAUUUAAAGCAGCCAGGACAAUUUUUUCUUAUUACUAUUUUAUUGUUAUGAUACCAUUACAGAACAAUUACAUACUCAAACUGCAGGUUUGCAAUAUGUAUGCUCUGGCAACUGUUGGUCUGAUGGGCAUAAUCAGUCAAUGGUGACAGAAGAAACACUAGAUUACCAAAUGCAGAAUGUGUAUGUAGAACACCAAUAAGGAUUAUGUAUCCACUGUAUCUCUGCAUUUCUUUGCAUUCUUCAGUAAGAGAGCUUACAUGUGGUGUUUACACAAUAUACUGCACUGAGGUGUCUGGUAUUUUCUGAAGCUUGCCACAUCUCACCCACGUAUCUACCUUGUCCACUUAAUGCUUUGCCUCUCCACUACUACAACAAAACCAUUGUUAGUUCUACAACAUAGUUUCCCCACUUUUUUCUGGAAUAAAAUUAAUUCCCAUCCCACUUAAUAGCUUGUGAAGGACUAUAAUGGUUGGUCUACAAUGCCCCAGUGUCAUUUAACACCUUCAUUUUUAUUGAUAAGGAUUAUCAUCACCUAACUUGAACUGAAGAUAAAACCAGAGUAGCUUCAUCACUGUGUUGAAAAGAGAGACUAGGACAGACACCUCAUACACUCUACUAUUGAUUCAAGUGGAUGCUGUAAACCUCUAUUCAAUUACACAAACACUGGAAGACUGCCAUGUACAGUAGUUAGAAGAAUAGAAAUGGACCAUCUAUUUCCUCUAUUGUUCAUGAUAUUCCAUAGGCAGUUCCUGGGCAAUUAUUUUCUACACUGACAUAAAUAUUGUUGUUGUUUGCUGCUUGAACUCCAAAUUAUAACUUGGACAUACUGUGUGCAGCAUUUCAUGCAGCAAUUGUUUCCCAACACUGACUAGAGUGUUCUGAAGCUGCUUCAGGCACAUUUCUGAAUCUGAUUUAAAUUAUUUCUGACAAGAUUCAAGCACAAUGAGUACUGGAUUCCAGACUUUAAUUAAAUUUUCCAAUACAACCAACAAUAAUUUUGUUUGUCUCCUUUACUUCACUGUCCCAGAAGCACAGAACCUGCACCACAAUAAUGAGAUCAUUUCAUCUCAAAUGCGAGGCAAUUCUCAGCAAUAGCAAAUUUACUAAGAUGUUGCAUGUUCUUCACAUCCUCAUUUAACAUUUCUUACAGUCUAUUCAGCAUACAACAUCCUACAGUCAUAAGGUACACAGAACAUACUCUGUCUUU